UUUUUAUUGCUCAGAUGGUAAAGAAUCUGUCUGCAGUGCAGAAGACCCAGGUUCAAUCCCUGGAUCGGGAA
rnacentral:tRNA from 1 species